GUAUAAUUUUUAUAAUAUAAAAAAAAAAUGUUUCAGGUUAUCUUGUGACUUUUGAUGGCAGCUGACAGCAUUUCCUGGACCUGGGUAUACUGGUGUUUAUGUUCAUCAUCAAAAUAUGGGUUAUGUUGUGACAUUUGAUGUCAGAUGACAGCUGACAUCAUUGCCUGGGCUUGGGUAUCCUGGUGUUUAUGGUUCUCAUCAAAAUAUGGGUUAUCUUGUGACUUUUGAUCGCAGCUGACAGCAUUUCCUGGACCUGGGUAUACUGGUGUUUAUGUUCAUCAUCAAAAUAUGGGUUAUCUUGUGACUUUUGAUGGCAGCUGACAGCAUUUCCUGGACCUGGGUAUACUGGUGUUUAUGUUCAUCAUCAAAAUAUGGGUGUGUAUUAUUUUUAUAAUAUAAAAUAAUAUUUAAAGUUAUCUUGAGGCAUUUAAUGACACUUGGCAGCAUUGCCUAGACCUGGAUACCUGGUGUUUAUGUUUAUCAUCAAAAUAUGUGUUGUGUAUAAUUUUUAUAAUAUAAAAUAAUAUUUAAAGUUAUCUCGUGACAUUUAAUGACAGCUGACAGCAUUUCCUGGACCUGGGUAUACUGGUGUUUAUGUUCAUCAUCAAAAUAUGGGUUAUCUUGUGACACUUGAUGGCAGCUGAAAGCAUUUCCUGGACCUGGGUAUACUGGUGUUUAUGUUCAUCAUCAAAAUAUGGGUGUGUAUUAUUUUUAUAAUAUAAAAUAAUAUUUAAAGUUAUCUUGAGGCAUUUAAUGACACUUGGCAGCAUUGCCUAGACCUGGAUACCUGGUGUUUAUGUUUAUCAUCAAAAUAUGUGUUGUGUAUAAUUUUUAUAAUAUAAAAUAAUAUUUAAAGUUAUCUCGUGACAUUUAAUGACAGCUGACAGCAUUUCCCGGACCUGGGUAUACUGGUGUUUAUGUUCAUCAUCAAAAUAUGGGUGUGUAUUAUUUUUAUAAUAUAAAAUAAUAUUUAAAGUUAUCUUGUGACAUUUAAUGACAGCUGACAUCAUUGCCUGGGCUUGGGUAUUCUGGUGUUUAUGGUUCUCAUCAAAAUAUGGUUGUGUAUUAUUUUUAUAAUAUGAAAUAAUAUUUGAAGUUAUCUUGUGACAUUAUUACUGUAUUAGCAUGUUAUAGUGGAUAUUGUUCUUGGUCUUGGUGAUUCGAGUUUUUCUGGUAUGGGCAUACCAGUUGGUAAUUUAACAUCACAUCAAUGUCUUCCAAUUAAAAUUGGUGUGAUGAUAUUGGUCAAGUUGCUGAUUAUGAUAGAUUAAUUGAUGAAUUUAUGGCUGCUUGUGUUAAAAAGUAUGGACAAAUCAAGAAUGUUUCGAUUUAAGCAUGUUUAAUUAUAUAUUUAUAUGUAAAAAAAAUGAUGUAUUAUAAUUUCAAUAUUAUUAUUUUAUUUUAGUUCAAAGAUUUUAGAAAUCAUAAUGCUUUCAGAUUUUUGUAUAAAUAUCGAGACAAUUAUUGUACAUUUAAUGAUGAGAUUCAAGGUACAGCUUCUGUUGCUGUUGCUAGUAUUAUUUUUUUUUUUUUUCAUUUUUUUUUUCACCAAAUUAAAGCUUUUUUAAUUCUUUAUUAUUACAGGUUUUUCCACGUAUGUGUUAAAUUUUUUUUGCUUUAAAUAAAUGAAUCAAUACACAUUUUUAUUUAUAUCAAAAUUAAUUUAAUGAAAAAUUCAUUGAUACAUUUCUUUAAACGACAAUUUGUGACUUUAUUUUUUUUCAAGACAGGUUUUCAUUUACAUGUUAUUUAUUAAAUUUAUAAAAAGUAUUCGUUUAUUUUUAUUUUCUUUAGUGAAUUUAAUAGAGUUUGUUAAGUUGAAAAAAGAUUAAAAAAACAGAAGAUCUAUAUUCAAGUGGGAUAAGUAAUUAUAAUUUCAAAAUGUUUCAUUUGUCGAGUGGCUAUUUCUAGAUGAUCCAAACAUGACACAAAAACAUUUCGUCACAUGAAAUUUCAAAACUUUUUCUGUAUACUCAUUUUUAUAGUAUUAUACAUAUAUAUUUUAUUAAUAAAUGAAAUAUAUAUAUUAAUAAAUAAUAAAAAGAAAGUUUGAAAUUUAAUUUACUUAAUAUAAAUUUAUUCACUAAGAAUUUAAAGCCAGCUGGCAUUAAUCCCAAUGAUGAUUUUAAAAAGUCUAGCUUUGCCCUUUGACACACAAAUUUACUUGAAUAUAUUAUUUUUAAUUAUCUAAUUGAUAUCUUAUUGAUGAAUUAAUUAUUUAAAUAUUGUUUAAUCAACACACACUUUUAUAUAAUUUCAAUUAUUAGACAAUAAUGAAAAUACUUAUUUAAAAAUCACUUGAUAAAGUAAAAUCAACACACUAUUAAUCAUGACAAUAAAUAAAUAAUAAUUACAUCAACAAACUGUUGAUAAUAUUUAUUAUAUAUUAAUUAUAAUACGGGCAAGUAUAUAUUAUAAGCAAGUAUACAUAUAAAAUUUACAUUGUAAUCUAAAAUAUUGAUAAAUCAAUCGUUAAUUAAACUAGUUAUAUACAAUUAAUAAUUAAAAAUUAAAAUACAAUUAUAUUAUAUUAAACUUCAUCAUGUACAUAAUAAUACAGGCAAAUAAAAAAUAAAUAUAUGUAUAUA